UAGAUCAAAUCUACAAAUUUUUAAAAAAUUUAAAAAUCAUCUGAUACUUCAUUUCAUUUAUUCGAAUCAAUGUAUAAAAUAAUUUAUUCAUUAUCCUUUAAUUUGAAUUAAUGAAAUGAAGUAUCAAAUGAUUUUUAAAUUUUCUAAAAUUUUACAAAUUUGAUCUA
rnacentral:miRNA from 1 species